UAUAGUCUAAAUCUAGUCUCUUAUAUGAGGUGGGGAGGGUAGGCGCCUUUAGGGUGUCGCAGGGCCUGGUAGGUUAGCCCCUCCCCCGAAAAGACUUUAGUUCAGGGGGUAACAAUACAGUUCCUCCCACGCAAUCUGUUGCAUUCAGUUAGGGGGAUAUAACCCAGAGCUGUACGUACAAGCCACAUAGAAACAACAAACAGCGCUCCGAGUUUUCAAGAUGAAGUCCCUACUUAUCGUCAUUCUAGUUUUGGCUCUUGCAAGGGAAGUCACUGGAGAAAAAUCUUGUAAUUACACAAAGACCUUUACAGUUGCUCAUAACAAGGAGUCGGAGGAUUCAAAAUGUAGUUGCUGGGAUGGAAAACUAGUUUGUGAGGAAUUAAUAGAGCAAAGCAGGGCCAGCAUCACAUCCAGAGACAAAAUUCCCGAAAAAUAGUACAGGUUACAUGUAAUGCAAUGCAGCAUAGAAUCAACAGACAAGUUUCUUUCAUCGAAUAAAGAAAAUGUAUUUUUAAAAAUCAAUAAAAACAACUUAAACAUCUGAUUAAAUAUAAAAAACCAAA
rnacentral:sRNA from 1 species